rnacentral:rRNA from 1 species
GACGAACGCUGGCGGCGUGCCUAAUACAUGCAAGUCGAACGCUUCUUUUCCCACCGGAGCUUGCUCCACCGGGAAAAGAGGAGUGGCGAACGGGUGAGUAACACGUGGGUAACCUGCCCAUCAGAAGGGGAUAACACUUGGAAACAGGUGCUAAUACCGUAUAACAAUCGAAACCGCAUGGUUUCGUUUUGAAAGGCGCUUUACGGUGCCGCUGAUGGAUGGACCCGCGGUGCAUUAGCUAGUUGGUGAGGUAACGGCUCACCAAGGCUACGAGGAAUAGGCGACCGGGGAGGGGGAUCGGCCACAUUGGGACUGAGACACGGCCCAAACUCCUACGGGAGGCAGCAGUAGGGAAUCGUCGGCAAUGGACGAAAGUCUGACCGAGCAACGCCGCGUGAGUGAAGAAGGUUUUCGGAUCGUAAAACUCUGUUGUUAGAGAAGAACAAGGGUGAGAGUAACUGUUCACCCCUUGACGGUAUCUAACCAGAAAGCCACGGCUAACUACGUGCCAGCCGCCGCAGUAA